rnacentral:rRNA from 1 species
GAUGAACGCUGGCGGCGUGCCUAAUACAUGCAAGUCGAGCGAACGGACGAGAAGCUUGCUUCUCUGACGUUAGCGGCGGACGGGUGAGUAACACGUGGAUAACCUACCUAUAAGACUGGGAUAACUUCGGGAAACCGGAGCUAAUACCGGAUAAUAUUUUGAACCGCAUGGUUCAAUAGUGAAAGACGGUCUUGCUGUCACUUAUAGAUGGAUCCGCGCUGCAUUAGCUAGUUGGUAAGGUAACGGCUUACCAAGGCAACGAUGCAUAGCCGACCUAAGAGGCGGAUCGGCGACCCGAGAACUGAGACACGGUCCAGACUCCUACGGGAGGCAGCAGUAGGGAAUCUUACGCAAUGGGCGAAAGCCUGACGGAGCAACGCCGAGUGAGUGAUGAAGGUCUUCGGAUCGUAAAACUCUGUUAUUAGGGAAGAACAUAUGUGUAAGUAACUGUGGACAUCGUGACGGUACCUAAUCAGAAAGCCACGGCUAACUACGUG